rnacentral:rRNA from 1 species
GUGCCAGCAGCCCGCGGUAAUACGUAGGUCCCGAGCGUUGUCCGGAUUUAUUGGGCGUAAAGCGAGCGCAGGCGGUUAGAUAAGUCUGAAGUUAAAGGCUGUGGCUUAACCAUAGUACGCUUUGGAAACUGUUUAACUUGAGUGCAAGAGGGGAGAGUGGAAUUCCAUGUGUAGCGGUGAAAUGCGUAGAUAUAUGGAGGAACACCGGUGGCGAAAGCGGCUCUCUGGCUUGUAACUGACGCUGAGGCUCGAAAGCGUGGGGAGCAAAACAGGAUUAGAUACCCUGGUAGUCC